rnacentral:rRNA from 1 species
GACGAACGCUGGCGGCGUGCUUAACACAUGCAAGUCGAACGGAAAGGCCCUGCUUUUGUGGGGUGCUCGAGUGGCGAACGGGUGAGUAACACGUGAGUAACCUGCCCUUGAAUUUGGGGUAACUUCAGGAAACUGGGGCUAAUACCGGAUAGGAGCUCCUGCUGCAUGGUGGGGGUUGGUAAGUUUCGGCGGUUGGGGAUGGACUCGCGGCUUAUCCGCUUGUUGGUGGGGUAGUGGCUUACCAAGGCUUUGACGGGUAGCCGGCCUGAGAGGGUGACCGGCCACAAUGGGACUGAGAUACGGCCCAGACGCCUACGGGAGGCAGCAGUGGGGAAUAUUGCAGAAUGGGCGGAAGCCUGAUGCAGCAACGCCGCGUGCGGGAUGACGGCCUUCGGGUUGUAAACCGCUUUCGCCGGUGACGAAGCGUGAGUGACGGUAAUGGGUAAAGAAGCACCGGCUAACUACGUG